rnacentral:lncRNA from 1 species
AUUUUGCCUUUAAAAAAUAGAUGUAUACUCAAAAUAAUCUUACGGGGAAAUAUAUAUACAUAAUCUACUAUAGUGAAGGUCAUAAUAAUUCAGGCCACCCUCUGCUUUCUAAUAUUUAAAAUACUACUAUAGGCCGUAGGGGUGGUGGCAAUUGUUGAAUUAUGGGGCCAGAAAGCCCCUGAAUGGCCUUUCUUCUUCCUUAUGCAGCUUCUUAUCCAAUGGGAGAGUAGUGGCUCAAGGCUCCUGGGCUGCUGCAAGAGUUGAGGUAAGGGCAGUGACCGAAGCUCCUAAUAUCACAUGGCCUGGCCUUUUCUUCAUUUGCUAUCCAUAACUUAGGUAAAUCUAUACUUAACUUAUUCAAUAUCACAGUUUUUACUUUAAUUUUCACUAGAAAAUUAAAUGCUGGCCAUUUUUCCAUUUUAUAAUUUACCGAACAGUGCAACAGUAGUACAGUUCUUUGUAAACAUAUUUUCCUUUUUUCACUAUAGCGAUAGGUUGCUUUGAUAACUGUGUUGCUUUAACAAAACAAAAAUAAAAAGUAUUUCUAAUAAGUAUAAAUCUCUACUACAGUGUAUCUAAUUAUCAUUUUAGACAUGAGAGAAAGGUCCACAUAGCUUUCACUGACAGCAGCGCUUGUCAAGAUGGACUCUUAAAUCCAAACUAGAUUUUAGAGACAGAGAAAUCUACAAUUGUGAAUAUGAUGUUUAAUUUUAUGCCUUUAAUCGUGAUAAAGAGUGCUUUCGUAGUUAGAUUAUAUUUGGAGGCCUACAUGUUUUUAUAAAUACCCCUGCAGCAGAUUAAAAAUAGUUAUAGAAAACUAGUUUUGUCAUAACAAAGUAUUAGUCACUUAAAAACAUAACUCAGCGAGUGCUUCUUUUACUCAUAGUGCAGUGAGCUGCUCUCCCGAAGCCUUUCGUAGGGGAGGAAGGAUAUAAGCCUGAAAUAAACCAGCAGAGAGAACGUGCUGCUGUUUAAAAAAACAUGGAGACAGCCAGAAAAAAACACAUUUCCAAUUAUGUGGAUGUCAGAUUAGUUUAUAUACUUUUAAAACUGGUUAGAGAUAUUGUAUGAUAGAAAAUGUAACUGCAGAAGUGACUCAGCUUUGGCCUUACCUAAUGUGCUGCUGUAUGUGAUGUAGGUUGAGAUUAUCUGCAGUCUUCUAUCCACAGACUUUGACGUCAAUUAAUUAGGCUGAUAAACUCUUCCCAGGAUGAAAGAACAGUUGGUAAUAAGUAGCCCUCGUUCUGUCUUGUGAAGUUGUGCAUUUUUGUGAGUAUUGAGGAAAUUUUUACACCACGUAUUUACGUUUUACUAAAGAUAAGUGGGCAUUUCAGGGUACCAAUAAGAGGCCAAAGUAACCAGAAAGGAAGCUAUAAGAUAGCUGAAAAUAUAUCUUAGAAUCUUAUACAAAUAUAUUGCAUGACUCUCAAAUUUAGUUAUUUAGAAAUCAUGAAUAAUGAAACUUAAGUAAUACAUAUAUGUUUUAUUACAGUAAAUGUCAAGUUGAGUGCAAAUUUAAACAAUGUAGAACAUUAAGAUCUAUAUGAUGGUUGUAAUAGAAUUCUAAGCAUAUAUUUAACCUACAUAUAUUCACAGAACUUGCCCUUUAGGGAACAAUAAAUGUUUCAUGUAUUUUUCAGAUUAGUAUGUGAAAAGGUAGAUUUCUUAUCGUCUUUUUUAUUAUGGUUAUAUAUGGUUAUUAUGGCAGAGGUAGAGGCUGAGGCGGGCAGAUCUCUUGAGUUUGAGGCCAGCCUGAGUUCCAGGACAGCUAGGGCUACACAGAGAAAUUCUGGCUCCUAACAGACAAGCAAACAAACAAACAAACAAAAAUGUAAAUGCAUUUGUGUCCAACAGAAUGGCUGGAAGUUGUUGCUCAGUUGUAGACAUCAAACCUAGACCCCUUCUUCCACUAACAGAGCAAGUAUUAGCAGAUGGUGACCAUCCUAACAAAAAGACAUGGGAUUUGGCCCUCCAUAUAUUGCCUUUCUCUCUUGCAGUAUUGCUCAGCUCAUAAAACAAAUGAAGCAUAGUCAUAAAGGCACAACCACUGCAGCCUUAGUACAGUAACAGCUCGGUGCCUCACUGCUACACAGUUUCAGCUGGUUCUGUUACAGCUGCGUUUGUUAUGUUUGUGAAUAUAAGGAAAAAGCUCCCACAUAGGUAAUACCGCAGGAGCCAUAGGUAGAACAUAUGGGCUGUUUUCUGAGACCACUUCUGGGGAAUGUCAGGAAAUAGAACAGGAAAAGCAAGAGUUGGAUUCAUGCAGUAACUGCUAUUACUCAGUAGAGAGCCUUCUGCCCUGAAUGAAAGUGCAAAUACCUUUAAGAGCUCAUGUAUUCUGAAACCAACCUAAGCUUUGGUUUUUCUUUUCUUUUUCUUUUUUUUUGGGGGGGGUGAAAACAUGAAAAAUUGUGAUUAGGGAGGUAUGUAAAGCCACGUACAUUUGGUUCUGAUUUAAAGUUAGACUAUUAAAAAGACCUGUUACUCUAAAUAAUACCUUUAAAAGGCUCUAGUUUUAUGGUUUUUGUGCUUUUUUUAACAUUAAGGAAACUAUUAGUACUAGUGAACCACUUUAUUACUUCAUCUAGAUUUAAUUAAAGGGAAUCAUUUUAUGUAGUUAUUCUAAAAGAUUUCAUAUUAUUUCUAUCUUAAACAUUUUUACAUACUUUAGAGAACAUUUAAUUUCCUCCACAUUUAUCCCCAAAUAAUUAUCUAACAGGAACCAUUUGAUGUAACUUUUAGGUUUGGGACUAAUGUGUGAAACUGUAUAUAGUUUAAAAUGUGUGUUGCCUAGGGAGUAAAUCAAUAGCUAAAUAAAAUAACCCUUCAUUUUCAUAAUUGUUUCUAAAGAAAACUCAUCCAGCAAUAAAGGUAUUACUAAUAGAAUAUUGCAUUUCUAAGCUGUGAACUAGUUCAAAACAAAAGCAGAUCUUUUUAGCCUUAAUUUAUAAAGAAAAAUAAAUAAAGGUGUCCCUCAGCUCUCAUAUUUGAAACUGGGCCAAGUGAAGCUUUGGGAGGAUUGUGAGCUCACGGCCACGAGCAUGCUACAGCCUUACUCAGAAAACCAUGAGAGACCAGAAUGGGAUAUACUUUCAAAGGUUUUUGUCCUAAGACAUCACCAGCAUAAAGGGUAACAUUCUUUAAAUCCCUGCUAAAUAUUUUUAAAAUAAUUUAUAUAAAUCAGAUCCUUGUGAUUCAUUACAGAAAAGAAGAUCAAAUCGACAAAUUAAGAGGAAAAAAUAUGCAGAAGAUGCAGAAGGAAAGCAAUCUGAAGAAGAAGUGAAAGGCAGUCUGAGAGUUAAGAGGAACUCGGCUCCUCCGCCUGGAGAGCAGCCUCUGCAGCUGUUUGUGGUAAGACUAAGCCCGAGCCAGCCACCAGGAACUCAAGAGCCCUUGUUUCCUGGGCUUCCUUGUCUAACUCAGCACCAGAGUCUGUAUUUCUACUUUUACUUUUUCUCUUAUGCACUGUGAGCCAAACAUUCAGCCACUGUCAGUUUGAUUUGAAACCUCAGGCAAAUGUUUAUCUUGAUUAGCUCGAGGCUCCAGUUGGCCGCAAAAGCGGUGAUAGUAGAGGUUUUGAAAUGAAGGAGCGCAGCAUGGUUAGUAGUGGCCAUGCAGAUGAUGUCAGGGCAGUGAGAAUAAGACUUGUUUCUCGUUCCUGACAUUUCACAUAGUGCUCAAUGUGAAUGCAUUCUUGUUUGUUAAAUGACAACCUUUUGAGAAUAUAUUCAUUCCAUCAUAGAUUUUUCCCUCUUUCUCCUAGGAAAAUCCAAGUGAAGAAGAUGCUGCAAUUGUAGACAAAAUACUAGCUUGUAGGACUGUAAAAAAGGAAGUAAGUCAUGGUACAUUAUACCUUACAUGGUGUAGUUUCUGCCCUGCUUGAAUCACAGUUGUUCAUUUUAAUGUUUUAGGUAUCACCUGGAGUUAUGCUUGAUAUAGAAGAAUUUUUUGUAAAGUACAAAAAUUAGUAAGUAUUUAAAUUAAAAAUUAUGGUGUAACAUUAUGAUGUUUAGUUAAAUAUAAAUUAUCUAACUUGUAAGUAUAUUGAGUUACAAUUAAUAUACUUGCUUUUUAAAAAGAUUUACUUAUUAUAUGUGAGUACACUGUAGCUGUCUUCAGACACCCCAGAAAAGGGCAUCAGAUCUCAUUACAGAUGAUUGUGAGCUAUCAUGUGAUUGUUGGGAUUUGAACUCAGGACCUUCAGAAGAGUAGUCAGUGCUCUUAAGCACUGAGCCAUCUCUCCAGCCAUACAUUUUCAUUUUAUUUACAUUUUAAUAAAAAUUUGUAUUAUUUAUAAUUUCAAGAACUCAAUCAUUAAAAAGU